rnacentral:lncRNA from 1 species
GUUUCUGUUUUGGCUGAGCCGUGGAACAGGACUACCUCGGUGGUUCUCAAAACUAACCGCCGCCACGGUUAGCUAUCCACCAUCCCCCACUGUCGUGGAAUGCUACCGGCGAUGGGAGAUGCUGGCCUGGAGUUCUUGACGUCGUCGCCAGGUAUGGGAACCCUGUCCUACUAGGAGAUUUAUCAUUUUUUCCUACUCUAGUCAACGGUGGAGCCGCCUAACCGACGAUAGAUGAUUUACAGUUUUACACACAAUGAUGGACGAAAGGUGCGGUCUGAAGCCAUUGUAAGGCACCUGCUAUUUACUGUUUUGUUGAAUGGUGGUCUGUCUGACGUACGACGCCUUGAAAUUAGCUGCCAUGCUUUCUGUAAUUUCGACUAGCUGAACAAACGGGAUGAAGAUGAUCGUUCAUGUGGUAUGUCCAGAAUGCGAACAGG